rnacentral:rRNA from 1 species
AUGAUUCUCGUCCAAUCACGCUGCUCAAUUGUUGCCUCAAGCUCAUCACCAAGUUGCUGGCUAACCGCUUGCAAAAGGUUAUUCUGCGAAUUAUUCAUUGCAACCAGUAUGGAUUCAUACGUGGAAGAUCUAUCUAAGAUUGCCUAG